CUGAUACUCCCUCCGUUCCUAAAUAUAAGUCUUUGAAGAGAUUCCACUAUGAACAACAUAUGGAUGUAUGUAGAUGUAUUUAGAAUGUAGAUUCACUCAUUUUGCUUCGUAUGUAGUUCAUAGUAAAAUCUCUACAAAGACUUAUAUUUAGGAACGGAGGGAGUAUAUU
rnacentral:pre_miRNA from 1 species